rnacentral:lncRNA from 1 species
CAGGCGUGCAGGCAGGUUCUCUGCCUGAGCUGCUCCAUGUUGGCCAUUUCUUCGGUCCUGUACACGUGAUAACAAAAAACGGGAAAUGGAGCCUCCAUGUUGGAUUGUUGGAUAUGCCUGACCCCUGACCCCCAGAAGAUGGCCAACUAAAUGCAGCUGAAAAGCACCUCUCCCACCAAGAGAAACCAAGUAUCAAGUAAACCAUCAUACUUCAAACAGAUCUUUUGAGCGAAAAUAAAGUCAAUAUAGAGGUAAUGCAGACAUUCCCCGAAACCUGCUCUGACUCUGCCCAGCUUAGAGGACCAGCAGGUUCCUGAGGAGGUGUGGUUUCCCUAUUGACCUAACCUUCAGCUCCGGAUGGCUCUAGGGGAGUGGAAAGUGCAGUGCACAAGAGUCUGCGUUAGGGCUCAGGAAACACAGGCAUAGCACUAGUGAUUGGAGGGGGCUCCCCCAAGGCCCAGAAAGAGACCUGGUGAGGGAGUUAUCUCUUGCCCCGCUAUCUCCCACUCCCCAGGACACUGCUGAAUGUACUCUGAAAUACAAGACACACAAUGCUGAUUAAAAGCCUAUUUGCCAGCCCUUAAUCUUAAGCACCAUCUACUGUAUCAUAGCCUGAAUUACCUCACCAAACAAAACUGAAUUCCUUUAGCCCUCAAUACUUGUGAAACCUAAUGCAGGAAACUAGCCACAGCUCGGAAAUUAUACAGAGCCUUCACCCUCUGAAAGUACUCAGAAAUGAAGCCAAUCAACUUUACACAACACACCCCCAUCAAAUGCCCAAAAGAAAAAAACAAAUUGAAGCCAAAAAAACCAUCCAAACAGUCAUUUCCAAAAGAAACAGAAACAGGAGUCCCUCAAAUGAGAAGAAAUCAGUGCAAGAAUUCCAGACAUUCAUAAAGUCAGAGUAGUUCUAUACCUCUAAAGGAGCACACUAGCUUCCCAGAAACGGAUGCUAACCAGAGUGAAAUGUCUGAAAAGACAGACACAGAAUUCAGGAUCUGGAAGAGAAGUUCAUAGAUAUUUAAGAGAAAAUUGAAAUCCAAUCCAAGGAAGACAAUAAAAUGAUUUAAGAGUUGAAAGAUGACAAAGCCACUUUAAGAAGGAACCACACUGAACAUCUGGGUUUAAAAAAUUUACUACAGGAAUUUCAAAAUACAAAUGGAAGCCUUAACAACAGAAUAGACAAAGCUGAAGAAAUAAUAUAAGACUAGUCCUUCGAAUCAGCCCAGUCAGAUAAAAAUAAAGAAAAAACGAUUUAAAGCAUGAGCAAAGCCUUUGAGAAAUAUGAGAUUUUGUAAAAAGACCAAACUUAUACAUCACUGGAAUUCCUAAGAUAUAAGAAGAGAGAGUAAGCAACUUGGAAAACAUAUUGGAAGAUAUAACCCAUGAAAAUUUCCUUAUUCUUGCUAGAAAGGUCAUCAUGCAAAUGCAGGAAAUUUAGAGAACCCCUCCAAGAUACUACACAAGACAACCAUUCCCAAGACACACGGCCACCAGACAUUACAAGGUCUAUGUGAAAUAAAAAAUAUCUUAAAGCCAGCUAUAGAUCACUUACAAAGGGAAGCUCAUCAGGCUAACAUCACACUUCUCAGCAGACAUCUUAUAAGCAAGAAGAAUGUAGAGGCUAUUUCCAGCAUUCUUAAAGAAAAGAAAUUCCAACCUAGAAUUCCUAUCCCACCAAACUAAGCUUUAUAAGCAAAGUAAAAA